rnacentral:rRNA from 1 species
UACAGAGGGUGCAAGCGUUAAUCGGAAUUACUGGGCGUAAAGGGCGCGUAGGUGGCCUGCUAAGUCGAACGUGAAAUCCCCGGGCUCAACCCGGGAACUGCGUCCGAUACUGGCAGGCUUGAAUCCGGGAGAGGGAUGCGGAAUUCCAGGUGUAGCGGUGAAAUGCGUAGAUAUUGGGAAGGAACACCAGUGGCGAAGGCGG